rnacentral:rRNA from 1 species
UACGUAGGGGGCAAGCGUUGUCCGGAAUUAUUGGGCGUAAAGCGCGUGUAGGCGGUCCGAUAAGUCGGUUGUGAAAGUCCAGGGCUCAACCCUGGAAUGCCGGUGGAUACUGUCGGGCUAGAGUCCGGAAGGGGCGAGUGGAAUUCCUGGUGUAGCGGUGAAAUGCGCAGAUAUCAGGAGGAACACCAAUGGCGAAGGCGGCGACCUGGGCCAAUAUUGACGCUGAGGCACGAAGGUCAGGGGAGCAAACGGG